UACGAAGGGUGCAAGCGUUAAUCGGAAUUACUGGGCGUAAAGGGUGCGUAGGUGGUUUCUUAAGUCAGAGGUGAAAGGCUACGGCUCAACCGUAGUAAGCCUUUGAAACUGGGAAACUUGAGUGCAGGAGAGGAGAGUGGAAUUCCAGGUGUAGCGGUGGAAUGCGCAGAUAUCUGGAGGAACACCAGUGGCGAAGGCGGCCUCCUGGACCAUUCCUGACACUCAGACGCGAAAGCUAGGGUAGCAAACGGGAUUAGAUACCCCCGUAGUCCCUGAG
rnacentral:rRNA from 1 species